AUACAUGUGUCAAGCGGCGGUCUUCGGAUCGUCGUGCUAUUAUUGGAGCAAAACUAUUCGUUAGUCCUUUUGCUAACUCUGGAUAAUACUGCGUAUCGCACGGCCUUGUGUCGGCGAAGUUUCAUUCGAGUAUCUGCCCUAUCAACUUGCUGGCAGUGUAUUGGACUGCCAUGGUUCUAACGGGUAACGGAGGAUCAGGGUCUGACUCCGGAGAGGGAGCCUUAGAAACGGCUACCAUGUCUAAGGAUAGCAGCAGGCGCGAAAAUUACCCACUAUCAACACGAUGAGGUAGUGACGAGAAAUAACGAGUCCGUUCUCUCUGAGGUCGGACAUUGGAAUGGGUACAAUCUAGACAAUUUAACGAGUAUCUACGAGAGGGCAAGUCUGGUGCCAGCAGCCGCGGUAAUUCCAGCUCUCGUAAUACAUAGAAUUAUUGUUGCGGUUAAAAAGUUCAUAGUUGGAUUGUUCAACCGUCGCGGGUGCGUCCUAACGGGCGUCACUCGGGGCGGUAUUUUGCGCGUUUGUGUGCGUCGGCUUUCGGGCAGGCGUACGCUGCGCGCAGGAUUACUUUGAACGGCUUAAGUGCUCAAGGCGGGUCUGAGGACCGAAUACCGGUGCAUGGAAUAAUGGAACAAGGUUGCGGCCGAGUUUUAUUGGUUUUGUCGGCUGAAACAAUGGUUAACAGGAACAGCCGGGGGCAUUCGUAUCGCUGCGCGAGAGGUGAAAUUCGGGGACCGUAGCGAGACGCACUAAAGCGAAGGCAUUUGCCAAGAGUGUUUUCAUUAAUCAAGAACGAAAGUCAGAGGUUCGAAGGCGAUUAGAUACC
rnacentral:rRNA from 1 species